UAUGCAAAAACAAGAAGAAGAAAACAAGCGCUCUCUCUAUUAGGCUCGAUAUAUUUGGUUGGCCAUUUUCUGACAUACCCCUCUCAGACACUGACAUACACUGACAAAACCGCCUUCUGCUCAGUUUUACCUCAUAUUUUGAACAUUCAACAUUCAACAACAUAAAUGAUUCUACUGACUACAGUGUUGUUCUGGCUUGGAGGCCAGCUGCUGCUACCAAUUCCAGAGUGAUGGCUGGGGACCCAAACACCAAGCCCUUAUGUCUUUGUGGGAUGCAUGGCAUUCCCUCUGAGGGUAAACCGGAUGCAACCAUAUCCAGGGUCUUCUGGCCUUGAUGACACUAAGAUCUACAGCUACUGCCACUCAAGAACCAGAAGAAUUUCAGAGAACUGCUUUGGGAUCCUUGCUACAAGACGUGAGGAUCCUAUAGAAAUCUGAGACCAUUGUGAAGGCCUGCAAUGCCCUCCACAAUUACCUGCACCACAGACACUAGACAUUGACAACACAGUCAUCAACACAGUACAUCCACCCCAUGUUUGUUGACCACUCCAUAACCACUGGGGACCUGUGUCCAGGAGAGUGAAGACAGCUUCCUGGACCAAAAAACAUGUAAAUGUUGGGAGUGUGGAUUGGAAAACGUGUUUACAUACAUUCUCUU